AGUGAACGCUGGCGGUAGGCCUAACACAUGCAAGUCGAACGGCAGCACAGUAAGAGCUUGCUCUUACGGGUGGCGAGUGGCGGACGGGUGAGGAAUACAUCGGAAUCUACUUUUUCGUGGGGGAUAACGUAGGGAAACUUACGCUAAUACCGCAUACGACCUACGGGUGAAAGCAGGGGAUCUUCGGACCUUGCGCGAUUGAAUGAGCCGAUGUCGGAUUAGCUAGUUGGCGGGGUAAAGGCCCACCAAGGCGACGAUCCGUAGCUGGUCUGAGAGGAUGAGCAGCCACACUGGAACUUGGACACGGUCCAGACUCCUACGGGAGGCAGCAGUGGGGAAUAUUGGACAAUGGGCGGAAGCCUGAUCCAUCCAUACCGCGUGGGUGAAGAAGGCCUUCGGGUUGUAAAGCCCUUUUGUUGGGAAAGAAAAGCAGCAGGUUAAUACCCCGCUGUUCUGACGGUACCCAAAGAAUAAGCACCGGCUAACUUCGUG
rnacentral:rRNA from 1 species